CACUCCGGUGGGCUAGUAGUUAGAGCGUCCGCCUCGGAUGCCGGAGGUUCUUGGGUUCGAUCCCCGGUCGAGUAA